rnacentral:rRNA from 1 species
GACGAACGCUGGCGGCGUGCUUAACACAUGCAAGUCGAACGGAAAGGCCCUGCUUUUGUGGGGUGCUCGAGUGGCGAACGGGUGAGUAACACGUGAGUAACCUGCCCUUGACUUUGGGAUAACUUCAGGAAACUGGGGCUAAUACCGGAUAGGAGCUCCUGCUGCAUGGUGGGGGUUGGAAAGUUUCGGCGGUUGGGGAUGGACGCGCGGCUUAUCAGCUUGUUGGUGGGGUAGUGGCUUACCAAGGCUUUGACGGGUAGCCGGCCUGAGAGGGUGACCGGCCACAUUGGGACUGAGAUACGGCCCAGACUCCUACGGGAGGCAGCAGUGGGGAAUAUUGCACAAUGGGCGGAAGCCUGAUGCAGCAACGCCGCGUGUGGGAUGACGGCCUUCGGGUUGUAAACCGCUUUCGCCUGUGACGAAGCGUGAGUGACGGUAAUGGGUAAAGAAGCACCGGCUAACUACGUG